CGGGUGAGUAACGCGUGGGAACCUGCCUUUAGGUUCGGAAUAACAGUUAGAAAUGACUGCUAAUACCGGAUAAUGUCUUCGGACCAAAGAUUUAUUGCCUUUAGAUGGGCCCGCGUUGGAUUAGAUAGUUGGUGGGGUAAUGGCCUACCAAGUCGACGAUCCAUAGCUGGUCUGAGAGGAUGAUCAGCCACACUGGGACUGAGACACGGCCCAGACUCCUACGGGAGGCAGCAGUGGGGAAUAUUGGACAAUGGGCGAAAGCCUGAUCCAGCAAUGCCGCGUGAGUGAUGAAGGCCUUAGGGUUGUAAAGCUCUUUUACCAGGGAUGAUAAUGACAGUACCUGGAGAAUAAGCUCCGGCUAACUCCGUGCCAGCAGCCGCGGUAAUACGGAGGGAGCUAGCGUUGUUCGGAAUUACUGGGCGUAAAGCGCACGUAGGCGGCUUUUCAAGUCAGGGGUGAAAUCCCGGGGCUCAACCCCGGAACUGCCCUUGAAACUGGAUGGCUAGAAUACUGGAGAGGUGAGUGGAAUUCCGAGUGUAGAGGUG
rnacentral:rRNA from 1 species